rnacentral:misc_RNA from 1 species
GUAUUUGUUUUUAAAGGCACAAGGCCAAUUGCAACAUUCUUAUACAUUCAUAUGGGGUAUGUGAAAACAUAGACCUGAAUACAAGAAAAGCUGGCUUACGCACAGCAAUUCUCAAACCGAGUUUCCUCGAAAUGUUCAGGAUCUACGCAAGGUGCACAGGUGGUUAAAGAUGGAGUCGGCGUGCACAUGCUCCUAGGAGCCAGCAGCAACCUAACCAAGUUUAUUCAAUAAUGAUCCUUCCGCAGGUUCACCUACGGAAA